CUCCACCGCAGGGACAAAUCAGAAGUAUAUGUCACUUCGAAACGGGCUUCAGAAACAAAACUGGUUUGGAACAAAUUACACGAGAUUCGAUAGCCCCGUUUUCUAUGGCUGGCAUGGCUUGUUGUGGAGAUGUUGCAGUUUGCAUAAAGGAAAAACACAAGCUGGCGGCUCUCUGUCUGUCGUGGAGCUCCGAAAUGGCGUUCAGCGUGGCUUCCAAAUCUGCGCAUGUUUCUCAAAGAAAGGAAAAACUUGAUUCUGGAGCCGUGGACUGUCGUCUGGCAGACGGAAUCGCUCUGCAUUUCUGUAAAGGUGGUUAACCCGCAGGCAGAAACGACUGCUUGGGACAUGUUUUUUUGCAAAUUUACAUUUAUGUUUGUUGAUUCCAUAUUAAACUGAACAGCCGGGCUUGUGAAGGUAAAGCCUUCUUUUAAUUAACCCUCUUGGUGUGGGCUCAUGUGAUUAAAGAUGACGGAGCCGCUCCUGGGGUUUCCGCUACUGAAAAUACUAACAAUAAUCAUUUGUUUUGUUUUUAUAUUUAAACACAUUAUUGCAUAGCUUGGUGCAGAGAUAAUUACCAAUUUUAUCUCCUGUGUUUUUCUAAUGUUCAUUAAUAACA